UUUCUCGUUUGUUUUUGUCCGUAGUCGGACCCUGCACUUCUCCGUGAUGUUUAUGUAUUGUACUGAUGUGACUCUGAUGUAGCAUGUGGCGAGUGUAAGCCAAUUCCAUAUAUCUCAUCUUUUCAGUACAUGUACUUGUAACGAUAUCCAUUCUUGCUAAAUGACGAGAUGCGCUUAUAUCCCUAUCGAGGCCUUCAUGCCAAAAUAAGGAUAGGAUCACAUCUUGGGCGUUACAGAUGGCUCGGGUCCAUC
rnacentral:lncRNA from 1 species